UACGGAGGGUGCAAGCGUUAUCCGGAUUCACUGGGUUUAAAGGGUGCGUAGGUGGUUUUUUAAGUCAGGGGUGAAAGACGGCAGCUUAACUGUCGCAGUGCCUUUGAUACUGAAGAACUUGAAUCCACUAGAGGUAGGCGGAAUGUGACAAGUAGCGGUGAAAUGCAUAGAUAUGUCACAGAACACCAAUUGCGAAGGCAGCUUACUAUGGUGGUAUUGACACUGAGGCACGAAAGCGUGGGGAUCAAACAGG
rnacentral:rRNA from 1 species